ACACGUGGGUAACCUGCCCUAAAGUGGGGGAUAACAUUUGGAAACAGAUGCUAAUACCGCAUAAAACCUAGCACCGCAUGGUGCAAGGUUGAAAGAUGGUUUCGGCUAUCACUUUAGGAUGGACCCGCGGUGCAUUAGUUAGUUGGUGAGGUAAAGGCUCACCAAGACCGUGAUGCAUAGCCGACCUGAGAGGGUAAUCGGCCACACUGGGACUGAGACACGGCCCAGACUCCUACGGGAGGCAGCAGUAGGGAAUCUUCCACAAUGGACGAAAGUCUGAUGGAGCAACGCCGCGUGAGUGAAGAAGGUUUUCGGAUCGUAAAACUCUGUUGUUGGAGAAGAACGUAUUUGAUAGUAACUGAUCAGGUAGUGACGGUAUCCAACCAGAAAGCCACGGCUAACUACGUGCCAGCAGCCGCGGUAAUACGUAGGUGGCAAGCGUUGUCCGGAUUUAUUGGGCGUAAAGCGAGCGCAGGCGGUUUCUUAAGUCUGAUGUGAAAGCCUUCGGCUCAACCGAAGAAGUGCAUCGGAAACUGGGAAACUUGAGUGCAGAAGAGGACAGUGGAACUCCAUGUGUAGCGGUGAAAUGCGUAGAUAUAUGGAAGAACACCAGU
rnacentral:rRNA from 1 species